rnacentral:tRNA from 1 species
GGGGAUGUAGCUCAGUGGGAGAGCACUGCCUUCGCACGGCAGGGGGCGGGGGUUCAAAUCCCCUCAUCUCCA